CCGACCAGGGAUCAGCGG
rnacentral:siRNA from 1 species